CGACUUAGUUCAGUAGGUAGAGCAACUGACUUGUAAUCAGUAGGUCACCAGUUCGAUUCCGGUAGUCGGC
rnacentral:tRNA from 1 species